CUUUCAGAUYGAAAACUACAGCUCGGUCGACAGGCUGGAAUUAAAAAUAAAAAAAUAAAAACGGGAGCAGAUUCCGAGGAUGGAGCCGGAGAGUCUCCUCCUCUCCUCGUCUCUUUUGUCUCCCCUCUAGCUCGCCCUCUCUCUUUGUAUCGCUCCUCUCUCCUCCUCCUGUCCAGAGUACAGGAUAAUGACACAGUUUUCCCGGGCUGCGAGAGCGAGCGAGCCGAGAGCACGGUAGCCAUGGCAACAGCUYCCGUCCUGCUCAGCCCGGCCCCGCUGUUGUUCGAGCUCGAGUGCGUCGCGUUGCGCUAGCCGCGUCSGGACAAACCUUCGUUUGUAAGUGAGGUUAGGUCGCUUUAUUUUAAUYUGUCUUUGAUCGGGUMACCUGAYCAUCACAGUAAACUGCGGUGAUCUCGUCUCGUCGCAGCUGCUUCUCAUGCAGAAGCUCCUGAAGUGAUUACUCCCUCUCUGCUUUGCUUUAUGACGACAGGCCUGGAGAGAGGAACAAUAAGCCCUCAGUGCUCCGGGAGAGGGAAGUGUUGAGAGUCAGCCUCCGCAGAGCAGUUAAGUUUAGAGCUGUUUAAUAUCUCCGGGUGUCACUGCAAAAAACUAACAACAACACACACGCACAAAAAAAAGCAAGGGUCUCUAUUGUUUUGAUUGUGUGGGUUUGCAGCUUGCCAUUUUAAUUAACUCCCCAACCAGGAACUGCCGGCAACCCUCUAAACUCUGCUCAUUAACAUGAAGGGAAUAUAAGGAAGAAAAGAGGAUGAAGAAAAAAGAAAAAAAACAGGACAUUGAUUGAAAGGAACGCAUGAGCGACACUGAAGAGACAAAAGCACAAGGACUGGGGUAGCUGUGCCUUUUUUGGAGGGAGGGGGUGGUUUGAAUUUAAUUACGAUGCACAUCAGCAGCACGUUAUGGCGACACGUCGGAAUCCCACACAAUACAUCAGCAGCAGUGUGUCGACAUGCAGAAACGCUGGGAAGACGAGCCGCGCUCCAGAGGGAGAGGAGAUAAGUGCAGAUGAAAGCGAUAUGCUUCAAUUACUGUUUUGCAACAAAAAUGAAAAAAAAAAAAAAGGCUAAAAACUAAAGCCUCCCCAGCAGCAGUCAGAGUCAUUUGAAAAACAACAAUUCCUGGAUCUCUGCUCUGAUUUGGGAGAGGAGCCAUUAGCUUUAAAUAGCCUGCUGAAAGUGUGAGCUUGUUUCCUUCCUCCUUUUCUUCCCAAAUCUCCAGCGACAGCAGUUCCGUCACCCACACAUCAUACGUACAACAAACACGCAGGCCCUGAACCUCAGUCACUGCUGACAAACAGAAUGAAUCAAACUGAGACGUCUGACUAACUGAAGGCAGGCUUUAUGUGUCUUACCUUCUUGUCCUCCGUUUAGCACUUGAUGCAUCACAGCUGUUUCAUUAAACAUGUGUUUUUAUUCAUGACGCACUUUGUUUUUAAAACACGGAGCUCUGCUGACUGACUAAUUCUCGUUUUGACUCUUACACAACACAAUUUACAAAUGUAUUUUAUUUUAUGUUUUUGAGACGUAAACUGUUUGGUUAUGCCUGACUGGCCACUAAUAAUAUGGUUGAACUCAUAUUUCAGGGAUACUCAACUGGUGGCCCGCAGGACGGACGUGGCCUGCAAGUGACCUCAGUCCGCCUGCCGAUGUGUUCUUCAAAAAAGCAAAUUUUUUUUCCAUUUUAAAAUUAUGGUUCUAAGAAGGGGGAGUUUGCAUGUUAGAUGUGAAUAGCUGCUUGUCUCUGUGUGUCCCUGUGAUGGAUUUGUGACCUGUCCAGGGUGUCCCCCACCCCUCGCAUUGUGACUUCUGCGAAUGGACACCAGUGACCCCCGGUGACCCUGAAACUAAGAAGCGUGUAUAGACAAUGGAUGGAUUUAAAUCAGAAAAAAAACUACGAAGAUGAUACGUCCCUUGAGUUGCUUGUACCAUGUUAGCGCCACACUGACGGCAGCCUGCCAGGCAUCAUCCCAAUCCCCCAUGGAAGCAGCUUCACAGAGGCUUCCUGUGUGGGGGGAGGGAGGAGUUCAGCGUCCUUGACCAUCAAUCAGUGGCCUCUGGUCCUCCCCUCACAGCUCCCCAGAGACRGCCCACAGGAGACACUCCUGAGCCAGAACUGAUCCGGCACACACCACGCUGUAAAUCGGACUAAAUCCCUCCACAGGCAGCCGCCAAGAGUGUUCAUAACAGAGCGGCAAACGCUAAAACGUGGUCUUUACUAGUCGCGGCGCUGGAGUUUGAUGAAGAGUUKAAACGUAGCCUCAUGUGAUGCAUCGUGACAGAUGAUGAAGGGCUGCCACGUUUCAACMGAAUGUGCCACGCUUCAUUAUCUUUUAAGCACUUAAACACGCUCCGUGCGAGCACUUCAUAGAGCGCCAUCAAGACAUUUUCCAUGCCUUCGCUCACCUCGGCCCGAUGACAGUGAAAUACAGCCGCCGCCUUCCCCAUUCAUCUUGCUGCGUCUUUGCCCGUAGCGAGCUGCCAUAUUAAGUUGGUGCACAAUUGACUCAGCCAACCCAUCAGCUCCUUCAUCCGUUUUCUUUUCUCCGUCCCUUCUGCUCCUGUACAAGCAAAGUGUUCAUCACGAGCAAYGAUAUGACGCUCAGACUCAUCACCUGUGUCUCCUGCUACGAGCCCUGAUCCACUCUCACCUUCGAGCUCAUUAGCCCCACCAAUCAUUUGCAUUAGUGUUAGUAAUGAAAAGCUCCCAUUAAUAAGAUGGCCUUCAGAGAUCGUUUAUUCCUCGUCUGCCUGCCGGCGCUGCAGCAUCCUCUCAAAGCCCCGGUACCUGUUGGUUAUCGACACCCUGCAGAAUGCUUUUCGGGGCCGGCUCUAAUGGCGCCUCUCAGCAUCUGAAAGGAGAGUGAAUGAGCAAGAGACCGGUCACCUGAUAGCUGCCCGAGUGAGCUGGGCUCCGGCCUUCAGCUUGACUUAAUCAACACCUCUGUGGGGUAUCUGGACACUUCAGCGCAGAGGGAGAUGGAGGAAGGAAUCCCAACAGAGGAGACAUUUCCCCUCUUUCUCUGUCGUUACUGUUCCUUUUCUGAACUGACUGACUUUUCCCUCAAACUGCACCGCUUCCCCUUUUAUCCAAACAUCAAUGCAUGUUUACCACACCUAUCAAUUCAAGGACAUGCUUUAUGCAGGAAAUCAACGACCUUCUGAGUGAUGCAUUUACAUUUUUAAACUCUUCUAUGCUUUUUUUCUCUUUUUUACCCAUGUAGAGGAUAAAUUGACAUCAGCAUAUUUUAGGACUAAACAAAAUAAAGCAGCACAGUGUGGAUUGAGAGUGGUUUUAAUCAUGGCAUUCAAAAAAAAAAAAACACAAAAAGCAUAAUUACUUUGUGACUUUCGCCGCU